UUACUGAUGUUAAGUCGGAAUCUCCUUUUUUGUAACUUGAAGCCAUUGGUACGUGCCCUACCCUCCAGAGCAAGAAAAAACAAGCAUGCUCCCUCUUCCAUUCCCUUAAAAUAUUUGAAGAUGGCUAUCAUAUCUUUUCUCCGUCUCCUCUUUUCCAGGUUAAGCAUACCUAGCACCUUCAACCAUUCUGCAUAAAGCUUGGUGAUUUGGACAGU